rnacentral:rRNA from 1 species
GACGAACGCUGGCGGCGUGCUUAACACAUGCAAGUCGAACGGAAAGGCCCUGCUUUUGGGGGGUGCUCGAGUGGCGAACGGGUGAGUAACACGUGAGUAACCUGCCCUGGACUUUGGGAUAACUUCAGGAAACUGGGGCUAAUACCGGAUAGGAGCUCCUGCUGCAUGGUGGGGGUUGGAAAGUUUCGGCGGUUGGGGAUGGACUCGCGGCUUAUCAGCUUGUUGGUGGGGUAGUGGCUUACCAAGGCUUUGACGGGUAGCCGGCCUGAGAGGGUGACCGGCCACAUUGGGACUGAGAUACGGCCCAGACUCCUACGGGAGGCAGCAGUGGGGAAUAUUGCACAAUGGGCGGAAGCCUGAUGCAGCAACGCCGCGUGCGGGAUGACGGCCUUCGGGUUGUAAACCGCUUUCGCCUGUGACGAAGCGUGAGUGACGGUAAUGGGUAAAGAAGCACCGGCUAACUACGUG